AUUCUCAGGGGCUCCCGAGUGUGGGGAGGGCGGCUCAGCAGGAGCUGCUGCUUCCCAGAAAGUUGAUUAUUUUUAACCCAGGAAGAAGAAAGGAAGGAGGCGAGGGAGAAGGACUCAGAGAAAAGAGGAGAGGAAAAGAGAGGAGAGGAGAGGAAAGAAACGGAGUCUCACUCUGUCACCAGGCUGGAGUACAGUGGUGUGAUCUCGGCUCACUGCAACCUCCGCCUCCCAGGUUCAAGCGAUUCUCCUGCCUCAGCCUCUCAAGUAGCUGAGAUUACAGACGUGUGUCACCAUGCCCUGUUAAUUUUUGUUUGUUUGUUUUGUUUUUUGUUUUGUUUUGUUUCGUUUUUUGUUUUUUUUUUUUGAGACGGAGUCUUGCUCUGUCGCCCAGGCUGGAGUGCAGUGGCCCCGAUCUCGGCUCACCGCAAGCUCCGCCUCGCGGGUUCAUGCCAUUCUCCGGCCUCAGCCUCCCGAGUAGCUGGGACUACAGGCAUCCGCCACCACACCCAGCUAAUUUUUUGUAUUUUUUUUAGUAGAGACGGGGUUUCACUGUGUUAGCCAGGAUGGUCUCGAUCCCCUGACCUUGUGAUCCACCCAAGGCCUCGGCCUCCCAAAGUGCU
rnacentral:lncRNA from 1 species